rnacentral:misc_RNA from 1 species
CAGCGGAUCCAUAAUCCUGAUCUCAUAAUAGAAUAAAUGAAAGAUCAUCAAACAAGCCCAAUUGAUAGCAAUAAUGAUAACAACUCCAAAAGUUCUUAUCAAACUUAAUAAUUUUAUAAAAGUCUCCAUUACAAGGGGUAAGUUUGCAAUGUCUCAAUUGUUUUGCCAUUUAAAAAAAAAAUCCAUCUCUCCCAUUGCUAACAAUAAAAUGCAUUAGGCGACAAUGAUACCCCAAAAAACAAAAAAGAGCAAUAAGGGAGCACUGUGAAUUCACACAGUGCCAAAAUGGAGCUUAAUGCAGCUUCCACUACUAUCUUUAAGGGGAAGACAAGUUAAUUUACCAGUAGGUUUGACCAUUUUAUUUAGGAGUUGCAACAGUUCUAUAUUUUUGUCCACCUUUUCCCUUCUUUCAUUAACCUAAGGUAUACAGGGGUAGUUUAUAAAUUCUCUUCACUUCCACAUGCUUUCCCAUCCAAUAACUUCAUUUGUUUGAAGGAAACUAAAUCGCCUAAUGUACCGUACCAUAUCAGAGGAUCAAUUUCUGUAUUAUAUUGGAGGCCACCUGAUCACGAUUUUGAAUCAAUCCUAACCAGUUCAUUAGCUUGUAAUAUAAGAAUUCCAAAAAUUUAUUUUCCAGUCAAUGAUGUCCAUCACUUCUUACUGUGAUUCAAUAAAAGCAAAAGGAUUGCCAGGUCUGAAAACAAUUGAACCUGCCUCUCUAAAUGAGUCUCCAAAAGCUAUCCUUUUUGUCCCUAAAGAGAAUUCCAUUUUCUCAGCAAACAAACAAAGAGUAAGGGUUACUUUCAUAUUAAUCGUCAUUAUCCCUGUUUGAAAACUAGAAUUUUACAAGAAUUCAGUUCAAUUCAAUUAAUUUCUUAAUUCUUAUGUUUAGAAUGUAAGAAUUUAAUUCUUUUUAACUUA